UGGAAUUUGAAGCAUCAGUUUGAUUUCUCACACUAUUUUAUAACUCAUAGUCACCUCAUCUUCUAAACUGAUCCAUCUAGAAACCUUUCAACUCAUGAAACUUUUCCUAUAUAUUCAUUGCCAUGUAGGUGUUCCCCUUGCAAUUGCCGGAUUCUAGGCUUAUGGGAACCAGCCAUUAAAAAACCUCCAGCAAGCAACUGGUGCAAUACAUUGUGCAACUAUUGGCAAACGAUUUAGGAAUGAUUUCAUGUUUUCAGUUGAGAUUCCAUGUGAGAAAACCCCUGUUUUAUUUUGUGAUAAUCAAAGUGCACUUCACAUUGCUGCUAAUCCAGUGUUUCAUGAACGCACAAAACAUUUGGAGAUUGAUUGCCAUAUUGUUAGAGAGAAAUUGCAAACUGGUGUGCUCAAAUUACUGCCUAUACCUACUGCAUUACAGGUUGCUGAUGUGUUUACCAAGGCUUUGCAGCCCCGGAUUUUUCAAGGUUUUAUUAGCAAGCU